rnacentral:rRNA from 1 species
UACGGGGGGAGCAAGCGUUGUUCGGAUUUACUGGGCGUAAAGGGCGCGUAGGCGGUCAGCACAAGUCAGUUGUGAAAUCUCCGGGCUUAACUCGGAAAGGUCAACUGAUACUGUGCGACUAGAGUGCAGAAGGGGCAACUGGAAUUCUCGGUGUAGCGGUGAAAUGCGUAGAUAUCGAGAGGAACACCUGCGGCGAAGGCGCUCUGCUAGGCCGCAACUGACACUGAGGGACGAAAGCUAGGGGAGCGAACGGG